GAAUCCGUGGCGCAACGGUAGCGCGUCCGACUCCAGAUCGGAAGGCUGCGUGUUCAAAUCACGUCGGGUUCA
rfam:Strongyloides ratti strain ED321 Heterogonic genome assembly, chromosome: X